UCUACCAAAGGAGCCAGCCAGCUGCCCCUCAAGGUUAGCAGAUGUGAUUCCUCCCCACUUCCCCCACUCCAGCCCAGUCUCUAAGCCUUCAGACUAAGUGGGGUUCCAUGCAGAGAAGGCCAUCCCAUCCCGCCGUCACUGCAGGGCCAAGCAGCCUCCCAACUAGACAGCCUGGCAUUUCUCCUGACCCUUGGGGAGUCCCACAGCCUCUCAC